CGGGUGAGUAACACGUGGAUAACCUACCUAUAAGACUGGGAUAACUUCGGGAAACCGGAGCUAAUACCUGAUAAUAUAUUGAACCGCAUGGUUCAAUAGUGAAAGACGGUUUUGCUGUCACUUAUAGAUGGAUCCGCGCCGCAUUAGCUAGUUGGUAAGGUAACGGCUUACCAAGGCAACGAUGCGUAGCCGACCUGAGAGGGUGAUCGGCCACACUGGAACUGAGACACGGUCCAG
rnacentral:rRNA from 1 species